rnacentral:rRNA from 1 species
GGCGUGCUUAACACAUGCAAGUCGAACGGUGAAGCAGAGCUUGCUCUGUGGAUCAGUGGCGAACGGGUGAGUAACACGUGAGCAAUCUGCCCCUGACUCUGGGAUAAGCGCUGGAAACGGCGUCUAAUACCGGAUACGAGCUGCGACCGCAUGGUCAGUAGCUGGAAAGAAUUUCGGUCAGGGAUGAGCUCGCGGCCUAUCAGCUUGUUGGUGAGGUAAUGGCUCACCAAGGCGUCGACGGGUAGCCGGCCUGAGAGGGUGACCGGCCACACUGGGACUGAGACACGGCCCAGACUCCUACGGGAGGCAGCAGUGGGGAAUAUUGCACAAUGGGCGAAAGCCUGAUGCAGCAACGCCGCGUGAGGGAUGACGGCCUUCGGGUUGUAAACCUCUUUUAGCAGGGAAGAAGCGAAAGUGACGGUACCUGCAGAAAAAGCGCCGGCUAACUACGUGCCAGCAGCCGCGGUAAUACGUAGGGCGCAAGCGUUAUCCGGAAUUAUUGGGCGUAAAGAGCUCGUAGGCGGUCUGUCGCGUCUGCUGUGAAAACCCGAGGCUCAACCUCGGGCCUGCAGUGGGUACGGGCAGACUAGAGUGCGGUAGGGGAGAUUGGAAUUCCUGGUGUAGCGGUGGAAUGCGCAGAUAUCAGGAGGAACACCGAUGGCGAAGGCAGAUCUCUGGGCCGUAACUGACGCUGAGGAGCGAAAGGGUGGGGAGCAAACAGGCUUAGAUACCCUGGUAGUCCACCCCGUAAACGUUGGGAACUAGUUGUGGGGUCCAUUCCACGGAUUCCGUGACGCAGCUAACGCAUUAAGUUCCCCGCCUGGGGAGUACGGCCGCAAGGCUAAAACUCAAAGGAAUUGACGGGGACCCGCACAAGCGGCGGAGCAUGCGGAUUAAUUCGAUGCAACGCGAAGAACCUUACCAAGGCUUGACAUAUAGAGGAAACGUCUGGAAACAGUCGCCCCGCAAGGUCUCUAUACAGGUGGUGCAUGGUUGUCGUCAGCUCGUGUCGUGAGAUGUUGGGUUAAGUCCCGCAACGAGCGCAACCCUCGUUCUAUGUUGCCAGCACGUAAUGGUGGGAACUCAUGGGAUACUGCCGGGGUCAACUCGGAGGAAGGUGGGGAUGACGUCAAAUCAUCAUGCCCCUUAUGUCUUGGGCUUCACGCAUGCUACAAUGGCCGGUACAAAGGGCUGCAAUACCGUGAGGUGGAGCGAAUCCCAAAAAGCCGGUCCCAGUUCGGAUUGAGGUCUGCAACUCGACCUCAUGAAGUCGGAGUCGCUAGUAAUCGCAGAUCAGCAACGCUGCGGUGAAUACGUUCCCGGGUCUUGUACACACCGCCCGUCAAGUCAUGAAAGUCGGUAACACCUGAAGCCGGUGGCCCAACCCUUGUGGAGGGAGCCGUCGAAGGUGGGAUCGGUAAUUAGGACUA